GUGGCAAGCAGAGGCCAGAUUAUAUACACUACCUUAAAGAUUAUGGUCUUUAUCCUCAGUGCAACAAAAUAAAGUCAUUGAAGAGUUUUAAGUAGAGGACUGACAUGAUGACAUGGCAAUUAACGGCCACCACAGCUGCCCUCUCCACCUCCACCACCGCAACUGCCACAUAUUGGUGCUUUCAAUGGGCCAUGCCCUGUGCUACGCAUUAUGAAGUUGAUCUCUUAAAAUCCUCACAACUAUGCUUUGAGAGACAGCGUUUUAUAGAACAUUCAGAAGGAAGACAUAAAGGGCUAACAUCUUUGGAGAAGAUAAAUAUGUGUUAUCUGAGAAUAACCUGAACCAUCAUUUGCAAAUGACAUAAUAAUCAUCAAGAAAUGCUGAAACCAAAGAAUAGCGGGUUAUUGAGUUCCACGGUUUUCUUUGAAUUUUUGCCGUAUCUUUGUUUUGUUUUCCUUGUGGGAGAAGGCCAUUAUGCACAUAUCCCAAAGGAUUUUGGAGAGUUGGCUUGUUCUGUUCUGUCUCCACACCUGGCUAAAUACUCUUUGGCACUAUACAGCUUGGGUAAGAUUUGGAUUUAUUGACCAAUAGGCUGGGGGUGACUAUGUCAAAGGAAUACAUUCAAUCAUUUUUCAGAAAGCUAAAUGAGCAGGAGGAUUCCAAAGACUUAGGAAUCUUAAAAAUUUGAAAAUUGACUUAGCAAAACCACAUCCAGAAAUUUAUAUCCAGGAAGCAGUGGAACAAGUAAACAAAGUUGCAAAUGCAAAGUUGU